rnacentral:rRNA from 1 species
GCUUGUCUCAAAGAUUAAGCCAUGCAUGUCUAAGUAUAACUCUUUUACUUUGAAAACUGCGAACGGCUCAUUAUAUCAGUUAUAGUUUCUUUGAUAGUCCCUUACUACUUGGAUACCCGUAGUAAUUCUAGAGCUAAUACAUGCGCCCAGACCCAACUUUUAGGAAGGGUUGUAUUUAUUAGGUACAGAACCAAUGCAAGCUCCGCUUGACCUUUUGGUGAUUCAUGGUAACCGAACGAAUCGCACGGCACCAGCUGGCGAUGGACCAUUUCAGUUUCUGACCUAUCAGCUUCCGACGGUAGGAUAUGGGCCUACCGUGGCAAUGACGGGUAACGGAGAAUUAGGGUUCGAUUCCGGAGAGGGAGCCUGAGAAACGGCUACCACAUCUAAGGAAGGCAGCAGG